rnacentral:rRNA from 1 species
AGUUAUCGUUUAUUUGAUAGUACCUUACUACAUGGAUAACCGUGGUAAUUCUAGAGCUAAUACAUGCUAAAAAUCCCGACUUCGGAAGGGAUGUAUUUAUUAGAUUAAAAACCAAUGCCCUUCGGGGCUCUCUGGUGAUUCAUAAUAACUUCUCGAAUCGCACGGCCUUGCGCCGGCGAUGGUUCAUUCAAAUUUCUGCCCUAUCAACUUUCGACGGCUGGGUCUUGGCCAGCCGUGGUGACAACGGGUAACGGAGGGUUAGGGCUCGACCCCGGAGAAGGAGCCUGAGAAACGGCUACUACAUCCAAGGAAGGCAGCAGGCGCGCAAAUUACCCAAUCCCGACACGGGGAGGUAGUGACAAUAAAUACUGAUACAGGGCUCUUUCGGGUCUUGUAAUUGGAAUGAGUACAAUUUAAAUCCCUUAACGAGGAACAAUUGGAGGGCAAGUCUGGUGCCAGCAGCCGCGGUAAUUCCAGCUCCAAUAGCGUAUAUUAAAGUUGUUGAGGUUAAAAAGCUCGUAGUUGAACCUUGGGCCUAGCCGGCCGGUCCGCCUCACCGCGUGCACUGGCUCGGCUGGGUCUUUCCUUCUGGAGAACCGCAUGCCCUUCACUGGGUGUGCUGGGGAACCAGGACUUUUACUCUGAAUAAAUUAGAUCGCUUAAAGAAGGCCUAUGCUCGAAUACAUUAGCAUGGAAAUAAUAGAAUAGGACGUGUGGUUCUAUUUUGUUGGUUUCUAGGACC